UCCAGUGUGGCAUAGUGGUUUAAGUGUCAGACUGCAACUCUGGAGACCAGGGUUCAAGUCCCAACUUGGCCA